AUUGGCUUUUGUUGGCGCGUUGGAUCCUUGCUCAGGCAGCGACAACGUGCGACACAAGCCUCUUCAGUUGUUGGCUCUAGCAGCAUGUCUCGGCCAUUGUCGGUUUCUUGUGUUGAAUACCUACUCGAAAGGCAUUCUUCGGUUGCAAGGGAUAAGAUUCCGCCUUGUGUUGCGUGCCCCUUGGGGAUGCGGCGUCGGGUGGACCUCGAAGCACGCUAUGUGUCCCAAGUCUCUUGCACAACCUUGUGCUUGAUUCGUUGGCCCAUGUUGCCGUGCGCGGUCUCUCGGAUAUGGAACAUUGUGCGGGCACGAGGUCCUCGACCUCUAUCUUGCCCCAAUGCAAGCGUUCUUCGCUUCGUGCGAACGACUUCCGCGGGCGUUGUGAUCGGGUCCUCGUGGCCUUGCUCAUGCGCCUGCGUUGUCCGUUGGGAA
rnacentral:misc_RNA from 1 species